rnacentral:rRNA from 1 species
ACGGGAGGCAGCAGUGGGGGAUAUUGCACAAUGGGGGAAACCCUGAUGCAGCGACGCCGCGUGAGUGAAGAAGUUAUUCGUAAUGUAAAGCUCUAUCAGCAGGGAAGAAAAUGACGGUACCUGACUAAGAAGCCCCGGCUAACUACGUGCCAGCAGCCGCGGUAAUACGUAGGGGGCAAGCGUUAUCCGGAUUUACUGGGUGUAAAGGGUGCGUAGGUGGCAUGGCAAGUCUGAAGUGAAAUGCGGGGGCUCAACCCCUGAACUGCUUUGGAAACUGUCAAGCUUGAGUACAGGAGAGGAAAGCGGAAUUCCUAGUGUAGCGGUGAAAUGCGUAGAUAUUAGGAGGAACACCAGUGGCGAAGGCGGCUUUCUGGACUGUAACUGACACUGAGGCACGAAAGCGUGGGGAGCAAACAGGAUUAGAUACCCUGGUA